CAGCACCUCAAGUGGUCAGGAUGAUUAUUGGGCCUAAAGCAUCCGUAGCCGGCGCUGUAAGUUUUCGGGUAAAUCUGUACGGUCAACGUACAGGCUGCCGGGAAUACUGCAGCGCUAGGGAGUGGGAGAGGUAGACGGUACUCGGUAGGAAGGGGUAAAAUCCUUUGAUCUAUUGAUGACCACCUGUGGCGAAGGCGGUCUACCAGAACACGUCCGACGGUGAGGGAUGAAAGCUGGGGGAGCAAACCGGAUUAGAUGCCCGAGUAGUCC
rnacentral:rRNA from 1 species